GACGAACGCUGGCGGCGUGCCUAAUACAUGCAAGUCGAACGCUGAAGAGAGGAGUUUACUCUUCUUGGGUGUGUUGCGAACGGGUGAGUAACGCGUAGGUAACCUGCCUUGCAGUGGGGAUAACUAUUGGAAACGAUAGCUAAUACCGCAUAACAAUGGAUGACACAUGUCAUUUAUUUGAAAGUGGCAAUUGCUCCACUACAAGAUGGACCUGCGUUGUAUGAGCUAGUAGGUGAGGUAAUGGCUCACUUAGGCGAGGGUACAUAGUAGACCUGAGAGGGUGGGCGGCCGGACUGGGAGUGAGACACGGCACAGACUCCUACGGGUGCGGGCCGGACGCAUACUGGAGCAAGGAGGGCGAACCUGAGCGAGCAACGCGGCAUGCGGGAAGAAGGUCGUCGGAUGGGGAAUCUCUGUUUUAAGUCAAGAACGGGUGUGAGCCUGGAAAGUUCACACUGUGACGGUAGCUGACCAGAAAGGAACGGCUAACUACGUG
rnacentral:rRNA from 1 species